GUGUGAAGUUAGCCAGACUCUGGCCAUUCUCAUCCUUGAGCCUACCACCACACAAAUGCCUCUGCCACUGCUUCAUUAAAGCAGUCUCGGAUCUACAUGGACCUACCCUGUCAUCGGAUAUUAUUUGCAUAUUAGAGACACUGAAUUACCUUUUGAAACCAGAGCCAAUCUUCACAGAUAUUCAUAUGAAACCUCUUUGACUGAAGAAAUGAGUAAUAAGGAAGUUCCUGGAAUGCAGGCCAGACAGUCAUUUCAGUCUAGCAAAAAAACUGGUCAUGGCUCUGAAAUUCUUCUGGUCAUCUUCACAAAAAGCUCUACAGUCAGCUGUCCAGAAGAAAGAAGACCCUCAGAACUUUAGAAAUACGGAGACAGUAUGUUUGGUUUUUGCAGGAAACGAGCACUGUUGCUGAAUUCAGAGAGCCACAAAGUCAGAAUUGUCUUUCUGGAAGCUUCAGAUUAAUGCAGGAUAAACAGACUAAGUUGGACUUUGGUUCUCUGCUGCAUUCCUAUGACAUACCAUGGAUAUCUGAAGCAGAACAGUAAAGUAACAUCAAUUCUGUGAAAGGUUAAGAGAAAAAAGAAACGACCAGCCAUCUUUCAAAGCUUCUCCAACAGUCAGGUUUCUUUGUUCACAUUUUCAUGAUAAAAACUCCGAGCAAACUGAGGGUUGUCCAGGUACCUUACACCUUCAGUUCACAGUAUCAAAACAUGGCAAACAUCAGCACUGCCACAGAAAAACACAAACCCACAGAGCAAUACAUACAUGCCUUCCCUCCCUUAUUCCUUCUCCAUGUUCUCACUCUGAUGCUACAUCACCUCGUCCAUAUAUGCAAGCCAAAGCAUUUGUUUGAAUAGAUUUGAGCUUAAAACUGAGUAAAAACGGGAGGUUAGUAAACCUCAAUCCAAUUCACUAAAAAAAAAAAAAACCAAAAACAUACAACCCUUUUGGCCAGGCUCAAAUACAUAGUAUUUCAGUGUCAGCUGUAAAAUAUCAAUGAAAAUAACUUUCAAAGUGGAAUUAUACUGAA